rnacentral:rRNA from 1 species
CACGUAGGGUGCGAGCGUUGUCCGGAAUUAUUGGGCGUAAAGAGCUCGUAGGCGGUGUGUCGCGUCGGCCGUGAAAACCUGCAGCUUAACUGUGGGCUUGCGGUCGAUACGGGCAUCACUGGAGUUCGGCAGGGGAGACUGGAAUUCCUGGUGUAGCGGUGAAAUGCGCAGAUAUCAGGAGGAACACCAAUAGCGAAGGCAGCUCGCUGGGACGGUACUGACGCUAAGGCGCGAAAGCGUGGGGAGCGAACAGG